rnacentral:rRNA from 1 species
AUUGAACGCUGGCGGAAUGCUUUACACAUGCAAGUCGAACGGCAGCACGGACUUCGGUCUGGUGGCGAGUGGCGAACGGGUGAGUAAUGUAUCGGAACGUGCCCAGUCGUGGGGGAUAACGUAGUGAAAAUUACGCUAAUACCGCAUACGAUCUAUGGAUGAAAGCGGGGGAUCGCAAGACCUCGCGCGAUUGGAGCGGCCGAUAUCAGAUUAGGUAGUUGGUGGGGUAAAGGCCACCAAGCCAACGAUCUGUAGCUGGUCUGAGAGGACGAACAGCCAAACUGGGACUGAGACACGGCCCAGACUCCUACGGGAGGCAGCAGUGGGGAAUUUUGGACAAUGGGCGAAAGCCUGAUCCAGCCAUGCCGCGUGCAGGAUGAAGGCCUUCGGGUUGUAAACUGCUUUUGUACGGAACGAAAAGACUCUUUCUAAUAAAGAGGGUCCAUGACGGUACCGUAAGAAUAAGCACCGGCUAACUACGUGCCAGCCGCCGCCGUAA